GAAACCGUUCAGGGGUAAACCUGAGAAACCCAAAAGAUCGAAUGGGGAGAUUCAUCGUCAACAACGCUGGCUCCCGUUGGUGCCCGCGAUGCUCCGGAUGGACCCUCGGGUUCCAUUAGCGAGGGCACGCCACCUUCGGCGAACGUUCCGGCGUGGUAGUCGUGCACUUCUCCCCUAGUAGAACGUCGCGACCCGUUGCGUGUCGGUCUACGGUCCGAGGCGGAGCCUGUCCGUCGCCUUUACCGGCGUUCGUGACAGACCCUCGGUUGCCCGGCCGACUGCGCGACGGUACUCCAGACGGUAUCGGGCCGCAACCAAUCCAUUUUCGAAUGUGUGUGCGUCAGGACCGCCGCAAGCUAGGUCCAGUUUACCCGGAUGUACGGACUAUGCGCCGUACCCGGGCCUGGCCAGCUGUUAGCAGGUGGAGUCCUUGGACUGGCCAAGCUUCGAAAUACCGGUCGGCGACGCUAUUGCUUUGGGUACUCUCAGGACCCGUCUUGAAACACGGACCAAGGAGUCUAACAUGUGCGCGAGUCAUUGGGAUAUAUAUAAACCUAAAGGCGAAAUGAAAGUGAAGGUCGUCCAUCGCGUCGACCUAGGGAGGAUGGGCCUCGUUACGAUUAGGCCUCGCACUCCCGGGGCGUCUCGUUCUCAUUGCGAGAAGAGGCGCACCUAGAGCGUACACGUUGGGACCCGAAAGAUGGUGAACUAUGCCUGGUCAGGACGAAGUCAGGGGAAACCCUGAUGGAGGUCCGUAGCGAUUCUGACGUGCAAAUCGAUCGUCGGAACUGGGUAUAGGGGCGAAAGACUAAUCGAACCAUCUAGUAGCUGGUUCCCUCCGAAGUUUCCCUCAGGAUAGCUGGCACUCGCUCGAAACGCGUUGCGAGUCUCAUCUGGUAAAGCGAAUGAUUAGAGGCCUUGGGGCCGAAACGACCUCAACCUAUUCUCAAACUUUAAAUGGGUGAGAUCUCUGGCUUGCUUGGAUAUCAAAUGAAGCCACGAGAUUUUUGGAUCAGAGUGCCAAGUGGGCCAAUUUUGGUAAGCAGAACUGGCGCUGUGGGAUGAACCAAACGCAGAGUUAAGGCGCCUAAGUCGACGCUUAUGGGAUACCAUGAAAGGCGUUGGUUGCUUAAGACAGCAGGACGGUGGCCAUGGAAGUCGGAA
rnacentral:rRNA from 1 species